AUGAAUGGGUAGCCUAUUGUGUUACCAGCUUAGCAAUUGGUUGCCUGAUUUGACAAUUCCUCAAGCAUUGUCCACAUUAUUAUGUUACUGUUGGAAAAGCAUAUUUUCCUCUCAUUUUGCCUCCGGGCUCUUAGGCGGUCUCCCGGGCGGAUACGUUUGGAAGGCUGUUUUCACGUUGUUGUAUGGACUGUGGAAAAAAGGGUUUUGGAAACGAUGAAGCAUGUUUAGUCUUGCAAGACAUUGUACCCGAGGACAUGAUUAUAGCAGUAACGUACCAGUCACCCCCCAUUUUGCAUGGAGACAGAAAUUACAUACCCAAAAUAAAAAUGUUUCUGCUCAUGAUUCUUUCUGACUAGAUACAUUAUCGACGUUUGUCCAUGAGCUGACACUUCAACGUUUUACCGUUCAGGAAUAGGAAUCGUAUUCCUGAUAGAAUUUACUAAAUAACUGUCACUGAAAAUAUGUUUUAUCGAAAUAUUGGUCAAAUAUCGAAGCCAGAGUCUUUAGACUUUCAAUUGAUGCACGGUUUAUCAAUAUCAAGUCAGAGUGAAGUUUAACGUGCUGUGGAAGUGAAACAAUAAUAAACUGGGGCCGUCGGCGAUGCUUGCAAGCGAAUGGGUUAAUAGCAGUUAUGUGCUAUUCGCUUCUAAGUGGUUUCUAAAGAUAUUUACUUGCCUGUUUUUCAUAUUACGGUCCUGAAAAGGCAACAUUAAUUUUACUCCCACUUGCUGUCCUGUGUCAAAACACGAGGGCAGAUGCGUUUUACAUGAAUUUUGAGUGAUCACUAAAUAAGUCCCUAAAUAAUUUGGUCCUGCCAGAAAAAUUGCAUGGAGAUUUUUUUUUUUUUUUUUUUUUUUUUUUUUUUUUUAACUUAUCAUGGAACAUUAUUGUAUCAUUUCAGUGAGGUUUAAACGUGCUCGGUAAGGCAAAUGUAAUGUCUUGGACAUUUCAGUGUGGAUGGAAAUAAUGCCUUUGUUCGUGGUUAAAUGUGGCAUUAUUAUCUGACGGAUCUACGUUUGUAUCUGUAGUCCAAAUCUAUGCGCACUCCACACUCCAGAUCAGCAGGUGGCGGUAAUGCAUCUUUACGCUGGUUUGCCAAAACCACCACAAAACACUAGUAGAAGAUGGAACUGCGUCAUGACGUCAUUUAACAAACUUUAGCCGCGAACCUACUUUUAGAUGCAACAUUUUGGAUGCCAACUGCCGUAAAAUCCAAUGAACCAGCUUUUAGAGUUUUCGCCUGAAAAUGUGUUGGUUAACAUCGCGCGGUCAAACUGCAACUCGGCCGGAACGCCGGUGUGAAAGGCUGAGUCGCGACGGGAAGUGAGAGCCUUGUUGCCGUGAGAACUUGGGUGCGGCCCAGGCUGGUUGGAUUCCAGCUCGAAGAGAGCUCGGUCUCGGGCGGCAUGAUCAUUGUGUCGAGCGAGCGAGCUCGGAGCUUGCACGGUCUAUUGGCCACGACUUGUGGCUUGACGAGGAGAGCAGCUGUCGCGAUGACGCUUAAUGCUGCUCAAUGGUCGUGUUUGACUGGGUAGGAAAGAUCGCGGGUCCGGCAAAAGCAGCAGGUCUUAUAAAUCCCCGGUGAAGCUCUCUUCGUUGGUACGAAAAAUGGGUCCGUGGUAAGGUGACAGACGAAGCGAACCGGCAUGCUGAUAAACCGUCAAUAGAGACAGGCCAUCAUCUCAUCAUCCGUAUGGGCUGGACUCUCAUGAGAUGGGCAUUUCGCCCCCUGGUGGCGGGAGUCUUUAACAGCAUGUGUUGGGUUCUCAGAGGGAAGGUGGUGUUGGGUUUCUAAAUAAAGCGUGAAGCGAGUCUCAACAGCAGCGCAUGCGCGGCGGAGGCAGCUCUGGUGGGAUUUCGGGUUCGGGCUGAAGGGACAGGACGCUGUUGGACAGCUCUUUACUGGGGACUUCAAGAGGCAUCUGUGGAAGCACAACAUUUAGUCAGUUUGUAAGAUGUUAGAUACUCUUAUAUGACUGUCUGAUGUGCAUUGCACACUAAAAUGGUAAGUACUUGCUCAAAAGAGAUGGGAAUCAGGGCUGAACGAUAAAUCAAAAUAAAACCGAAUGCGUGCGCUUGAGUUGCAUUCGAGAUUGAAAAAUGUGCCAACCAUCUUCCCAAACUUGUAAUAACAAGUGCAUCUGUUGUCAUUUUUCCAUCAAAAUUAAAGCUUAACAUUUGAAAAUUAAGAUUCAAAUUUUACAGUUGUACUAAUGGUUCUUUAUUUGUCACGUACAGAAUUUCAUACAUGUCAUGUAGUGAUUUUUGUUAAAUACUUGACUUAAUUUCAAAGUAAAAUAUUACAGUAUUUCUUAUUUUGUUUAAUAUUGUUUAGUUAUUAUUAUUUUAUUCUUAUUAUUUGUAAUUCUUAUUGUUAUAUAAUCAAAAAAAUGCACUUAAAAAAAUAAAAUAAAAAUGCAUUUAUUUUAGAAUUGCAACGAGGCCAGAAACACUUGUGAUAGUUAAUGCCUCAUUCUCAGGCACUGAGAAUUUUUCAAAGAGAACAUUUUGAUGAACAAAGAUUUUGAUAAAAUGGUAACAAAACAUCUCCACUUACCUUACUCAAAAUGUCAUCAACUAGUUUAAGGAAUAUCUCAUCCACAUUAAAGUUAUCCUUGGCACUGGCCUCACAGAAACGCAUCCCUGAUAUCCGUGAAGCAAACUGACAGAAAUGAAGACAUUUAUUUCAGUCUGAUGGUGCUUCUGAAUGGGAUUAAUAUACAAAUAAUUCAAUAUUUGUUUUUUUUUAAUGCAAUCAGCUGACUGAGGCUCUUUCUUCUUCAUAAUAGUAACAGACCAAAAUAUUGUAUGGCUUCAGAAGAUGUAUAGGCUUUGGACGGACUGAAAGAUGCCCUCCACUGAGCUAAAUGUCAAGGUAAACCUGAGGCAAAAAUAAAGUUCUAAUAGCAAAUCAUAAAAAAGCAUUAUAACAUCACUCAUAUUUGCUGAAUGAAACAAUGCCUGUUUCUAACUAAUUUUGAGGCGCUGAAUCCUAAAAUAUUGUUUUGGCUGUAAAAUUAUUUGCCAUUGAAUGUUUUUGAACAUAUUUUUCCACCCCUUAGCAAAUUGUAAGUUAAAUAAUACAUUUUGAAUACCUCUUUUUGUCAUUAAAACCAUUCAAAUAAAAGCUUCUGACAUUUGCCUUCUUUAGUUAUUUUGAUAAGUGCUUUAUUUACUGUAUAUAGUUUGAAAAUAUUAGAAAUGUUGCCUUUGCAAUUAACUGAAAUAAAUAAAUUCUAAAACCUAAAAUUAAAAUAGAAAACUAAACAGAAAGAUUUAAAAGUAUAAUAAUAAUCAAAAAGAACAAAACACAUAACAAAAUUACUAAAAUGUAAAUAAAAAAAUGAAUAAAUUAAUAACAUUGCAAUAAAAACUGAAAUAAUAAUUCAACAUUAAUAAAUGCUAUUGAAAUAAUACUAAAAUAACACCCUCCCAGCUUCUUGAUGUGAAAUAGCUGUACAAGAUGAAAAGUUUUUUGUAUUAUUUUUUUUUUAACUCAGCAUCUACAAAUUAAGUUUUAUUACAAAAAAAUAAUUAAAUAAAUAAAUAACCUUUGUUACUUUCAGAAAACAGAAAUUAGCCAACUAAAACUAUUAAAAGUUACUUUCAGCAAACGAAAUAAAAGUACCAAAAAUGCUAAAACAAACAAAGUUAAACUGAAAUAAAAAUAUACAUAACUAUUAUUUAUUAAUAUGGUACAUAAACAAUACUGAAAUAACACUGCUCUCACCCUCUCUGCUUGUUGUCGUGAGAUGGCACGAUCAGACUCACAGUCCAGUUUGUUCCCAACCAAUAGGAGCUCAGCAUCCUCUGAUGCAUACUACACAGAAGCAAAACAACACUUUAGUAAACAAAUGGUAUCCCUUUAGGGCAGGCAUUCUUCAGGUUUUGGUAGCCUUAAAUAAAUUUAACUAGACCGAAUAAAAAGGAAAUCAGCUGAACUUCACACUGUGGAAAAUUAGGAUGAUCAAAAACAUAUAUAUAAAAAAAAAAAACUAGUGAUUGUAUUUUUUCUUCAAAUAACAAGUAGAGAUGCAACUGAUCACCUUGGAUCAUAUUACAGAUUUUGAGUCACAGAUUGGAUAAUUUUCAGAUGAGCAAAGAAAUGGUUCUUUAUUAUUUAAAGAACCCUUUACUUUCUUUAUACCACAAUACAUAUAGAUCUUUGUCAAAGCUGACAGACAGCAGCAGGUGUGUAUAGGCUGCUGCCUCUUUAAGGAUAUGAUGCAGUGUUUGAGUGUGUGCACUUGAGUUCUCUUUUGCCUCUUCUUGUGCUUGAAUGGUUCAAAACACUUGAAUGUUUAAAAUGAAUCAGUGUUUUAGAUGUUUGAGUACCUUGUCUAUCAUCUUCAUCCAUUUAGGCAGGUCUUCAAAGGUUUCCUGCUUGGUGAUGUCGUAGACCAGUACGAUGCCUUUCGCGCCACGGUAAUACGCUGAAGUGAUGCUGUUAAACCUCUCUUGUCCUGCUGUGUCCCUGCAAUCAGCCAACAUUAUCAGACUUGCAUGACAUCCAGAGUGAGGAAGAAAUCAUACGUUCGACUAUUAGGAGAAAUCGUGUCUUUACAAUCACAGACGGCUGGAAGGGAGGGAUGGAAAAAGUAAGGAGGGGGGCUGUGACCUCAGCUGUAAAACAAUGUCAGUUUAUUUUCAAUUUAAUAAAAGAUUACAAAGACAAACAUAACAUGCACCAAUGAAUCACUCAUAACAUUCAUAACAAGAACAGGAAGGUGCAUUAGGACUUGCUCAGAUCAUUUGCUUUGCCAGUAAUUUCAUAAAACAUUAAUGUCUUUCAUGAACAGAUCUUGAUUAAAAGGAAAAAGACAAUUCUGAUUAAUUUUUAUUAACAUUAUGGGACACCGCAAAAGUCAAUUUCCAUGUUAUUACUGUACCUUAUUCACCCUAGUCUGGCUGCAUGUUUCCAAAACAGGAUAUGAUGUCACAAAGAAGACCGGUGAGGCGUCACAUGUCAAUGAGCAGUUAAGACAGACACUCAUGGAUGCUGGGUAGCUGGAUGUGAGUGGAGAUGUUUUACAGAUGGGACGUUCGAAAGCAGACAUCUGCAGAAGUGUGGUGUGAGAGAAGCCGGCGAGUUUUAGGGUCAAAAGAAAUAAUGAUGAUAAAGUGGAGGAGAUGGGAGGUUAGUAUUAGUUUGGACCGGUUACAAAAUGACUGAACCAGACUCUCAAUAACAGAAAGAUUAGUUUACAGACUAAAAAGAAAAGAACUAGAGAUGUUCACAAUAAUAGGCUAUAAUAGACUAUUCUAAUUCAAUGAAUACAUUUUGUGAUUUGGCUUGCCUGUAAAAAUGAAGAGUAAAUAAUCGAAAUGAGAAAGAGUAGCAUCUAUAUUUUCUAUAGGCAUCACAUUAUUAGUGAAUGGUAUGAAUGAUAAAUUAAACCAAUUAAACUUAUACUAAACAGCCUAACUGAUGAAGUAAAAUGUGGAAAGAUUUCUUACAUUCAUGUUUUUUAAUUAUUAGGAGUCUUCCACAUAUCAUUUGUUGUAUUAAUUUUUAGUCACAAUUAAAAAUAUAGAAAAGAACAUAGAAAAGAAUAAAUGAAACUCUAUCUGAAUAGAACUCUGUAGAAUAGAACCAAACAGAAUAGAAUACAACAGACCCAAAGUAAAUAAAUAAAAAACAGAAACAGAAUCUAAUAGAAUGUAACAGAGCCAAAUCAAAUAAAGCAGAAUUGAAAAAAGAAACAAUGGAAACUUUUUUCCAAAAAAAAAAAAAUGCAAUUGCAACUUCUCUCUCAAUUCUGAGGAAAAAAAUAAAAAUAAUAAUUUGAGAUGUUAACUCUGAAAAUUCAAUUCUGUGAAGAAAAGUCUGAAAUGUGGUAAAAAAUGUCAAUACUUUUUUUUUUAUUCCAUGGAGGAAACAGGCAAAAACAGAACUGCGAGAUGCAAACUCAAAAUUCAGAAAAAAAAGUCAGAAUUGCAAAACAGUUUUUAUAUACAUUUUUUUAGUUUUUCAUCCCGUGUCAGAAAAACACUUCCAUAAGAAACAGAUCAGAAUAGAAUAAGCCUUUCAGGUUGGAAAUCCUUAAUAAUAUGUCUGUUGUUCCCCCUUCCCUGUUUGUUUGUAUGGAUGUUAUUUUGUUAAUCUAAAGACAAUAAAGAGUUGAUCACAACAAAAAAAGAAAGAAUAGAAUACACCAUAAACCCAGACCACAACAGAAUCGUAGAAAAUAAUAGAAUAGGAUAGAUUAAAACUGAAUAGAAUUGAAUAAACAAAUGUCAGUCGGCGAGAUUGGCAGGAGUAGGUGAAAAAGGACAUACACAUCAGUUAGUGUUAUGAAAUUAGUGAUAUCACACUUAAAAUGCACAUGUUUAAAUUCAUUGUUGAAUUCUGGGAUGCUGCAAGCAUUCGAUCACAAAUUAAAAGUCGCAAUAUUAGUGAUGAGUGUACUGUAAUGCUUUAAUAAUUCUUUAUGAUGUUAAAAUGCCACAGAGUAAGUUAAAAGUUGGUUAACUGCAAGCAAACACAGCUGAUUAAAUCUCAGCAGCAACACAUGAAAGAGGUUUGAGUCUAACAGACUCUGGACUGGAAUUUAUGACUAGGUGCAGAGCGACUUCAUCUCAUGUGCUUCUGAGACACAGGAAGUGACAGAGUGGGCUGAGUCAACGAUAAGGACACAGCACUUCCUCUCUACUCACCAGAUCUGUAACCUGAUCUUCUUUCCUCUCAACUCCACCGUUUUGAUUUUGAAAUCCACACCUUCAACACAAACAGACAAGCACGAAGAAACAACAUGUAAGAUCAGUCAUACGGAGUCUUCAAGCUUUACAGUGCCUCUAAAAUUCACUGUUAUCUGACACAUAACUGAAAGCACUAACAUUUAAUAUAACACAUACAAAUAGAUUAGGUUUUGUGCCUAAAUAUUCCCAUGUGUAUGGCAAUAAACACAGCCAAAGUCAAAGCACAGAUCAUGUCACAGCAGCUGUGUGUGUCUGGCUAUUCUGGGAUAUUGGCAUGCAACUAAUCUGAUGUGAAGGCCUGUCACAACUGAGUGAAGUUUUCACAUGUGCACUGGUUCAAACAUUUAUGUGUUGGCUAAAAAUCACUGAUUUUGUACCAAACGGUUUUAUUAUAUUAAUGCAUGUUUUCUAAACGUGGCACUCAUCACAUGAUUGAUGCAGACUGAUUCAGCAUUCGGCAGAUCUCCCAUGAAACGACAUUAUAAAAAAACUGGGCAUGAGAAUGAGGGAUGAAAACCGUUUAGACACAGAUGCAAACUAAACUCACAUUCAUGUGUUAACAUCAAACUCUUACAUCAUUUGAAAUUGUUUGCAUCAAUCUGUGUUACAAAAGUCAGAUUAUUAUUAGGAAAAUGUUCUCGGAUUUACGUGGUCACUGGCACAGAUGUGAUUUUCAGAUUGUGGCUUUCUAACAUCUGGCUGAAAAGUUUCUGUCGACACAGUCAGGACCAAACCUGAUUGACCAGAGCUGCUACUCUGACCUCUGAACUGUUGCUAAGUGGUCAUUGUUAUACUGCUGAAACUCUUAAUGUUAGAAGGCAAACACUUUUAUUUUUUUAUUUUUGACUAUUUGACAUUUUUUAUUAUACAAAAUUAUAAUAUCCAUAAUAAAAUAACUGCAGAGUUCACAAUUAUGUACACAAAAACAAAUAUUAAUAUAUUCAUAUUAUUUUAUUUAUUUAUUAUUAAUUCUUAAUAUUACAUACACACACACACACACACACACAAUAAUAUUGUGAAAUAUUAUUACAAUUUAAAAUGUGCCAUUUAAAGAAUUUAUGUAUGUAUAUAAUAACCAUUUAUAUUUCAUUAAUAGUUUUACUUUCACUAAUAAACAUUGUCCAUUACUUUUUUAACUGAAAAUAACUAUUCAUCAAAGUGCCAAUUACUAACCAUCUAUACUUCACUAAUUAAAUAGUUAACUAUUUAUGCUCACCAAACUGGAAAUAAUUAUUAAUCUUUACUAAACUGAUAUGUACAGUUAUCUAUCUUUAAUAGGCAUCUAUGGUUUAUUAAAUAUCCAUUGUUAACUAUCGGUGCAUUAAAAACUAAAACACUAAUAUCCAUCUAACAGCCAACUGCAAACCAUUAAUAGUUUACAAAUGAAUUGGAGUUAACUAUCUAUGCUUUCCAAACUGGAUAGAAUUAUCCAUCUCUAAUAAAGGAGUAUGUUUUAUUAGUUAUUGUAUCUUUAAUAUUCAUCUAUGGUUUACUAAGUAAACACUGAUACUGUUUGCAAAUUAGUUACAUAUCUAUCCCAUACUAGCUAAGGGUCGUUUAAUUACAAAACUAUCUAUGUAUAGUUGACUUAUCUAUGCUGUAGCGUUCUCAUUAUUCAAACCUUGGAUACAGUUGAACUGACUUGAGAAGAUAAACACAAUGUGGUAUGUUUGUGUUGUUAAGGUAACUAACGUAAACAGAAAGAUAACGGAUACUAGUAACACAAAUAAACGGAUAGUCGUUGUUGUUGACCCUCUUUCACUAACUCUCUCUGUCAGUUUGUCUUACCCACAGUGGAUUUGCACGCCUCGCAGAAUGUAUCAUCCGUGUAUCUCUCCAUAAGGCUGGUUUUUCCCACUCCACGGGAGCCGAUGAUGAUCACCUGGAGUUUAUAAUCAGCCGCUCUCGGCGGCAUCUUCCUGCGGCGCUGCGACGCUCCUACAGCGGGCGAGCCACCACCGGCCCUCCGCUGGACACCGAACCCCGACUCCAUCCACCGCUAACAGCCGGUCCACAUCUGCCACACGGCCAGUCCGCUUCAAACACACCCUCGCAUCACGGAGGGAAACUUUACUGAACUUUAAGGCGGCUUUUCGGGAGAGUUUGUCAAAGUUUUCAAUCUCUUCAGUCAGUCGGUUAUAGUCCUGCGCUGGGAAUAUGAUGAGAGCGGCCGUGACGUCACCAACACUUCCGGUUCCGACGCAUUCCAAAGGAAGAGCGGAGCAAAAUUCCAUUUAGAAUAUACACACUUGCAAGAUUUACGUUAUCCACUACAAAUAUUAGAAUCAGAUGUGGAAAAUAAAAAAUUUUUUGUCGCCUUUUAAA